GCGUCGGUGGUGCAACGGUUCAGUACACGCUCCCGGAAAGAGUGAAAUCGGAGUUCGAGUCCCAGCUGACGCA